rnacentral:misc_RNA from 1 species
GGAAGGAUCAUUAACACGUUAUCCACGUAUCAACCAAUCGAGAACUUGUUUUCACGUCUCCCUUUGCAAUUUGAAUGAAUUGGAACCAGUUUGAGGGAAUUGAUGUGGAUUGCAGUCAAAUGCAGUCGGCCUUCCUGGUAUACUUACGAACACUGAAAAGUGAUUGUUGACAAUUGUAUCUUAUUGCUUAAAGGCCAAAUUUCUUCCAGUAUUUUGAUCUCCAUCAUGAUCAAUAAAGUAUUGGAGGAGAAACCAAUUAUAAACUAUUUUCACCACCUUUUUGCUAGUUGACUUUUUAUCUGUGAUUGUUUUGCUUAAUUGCAAUGUAGUCGCACGUUUAAUUACUUGAACGUUAAAAAAUACAACUCUUAGCAAUGGAUAUCUUGGUUCUCGCAACGAUGAAGAACGCAGCGAAAUGCGAUACGUAAUGCGAAUUGCAGAAUUCAGUGAAUCAUCAAAUCUUUGAACGCAAAUUGCGCUCUUGGGUAGCCCUAGGAGCACGCCUCUCUCAGUAUCGGUUCAACAAUCUCUCAGCAGCGUGUUUCUAUUUGAAAUAAUUGAAGAAGCAAUUCUUUAUGUUUUCUUUUGGAAGCGCGCGUUGGCUGGAAAAUGAGAGUCUGUAUGCUUUGUCGUACAGUCUCUUUAAAUUCAUGGAGUAAGCAUAAACUAAAACGAUUAAAUUCUCCUUACAGUGUGUAGGCCUGUCCAACCCGCAAGGGAGGGAUUGGCUGUAAUUCGUAUAGAAAGGAGAAUAGUAGAGUCUUUGACUUUGCUUUAAUUCGAGUAGUGACGUGAAUAUUGGCCAGCAAUGGUCUACUUUUAUGUUUAUCUAUUCGAGACUAAGCUAUUACAAGUCUUUGAUUUAACGAAACAAUCGUUUGACCUAUGGUUGUAUGUUUACGUAUAGAAAUCCAUAUGGCUUUUGUUCUUUAAUUAGACAGAAUCCUGAAUUUUGAUCUGAGAUGAAGCGAGACAACCCCCUGAAUUUAAGCAUAUUAAUAAGGGAGGAAAAGAAACUAACAAGGAUUCCCCCAGUAACGGCGAGUGAAGCGGGAAGAGCUCAAUUUGAAAAUCGAUUACCUAAACGGGUCAUCGAAUUGUAGCCUAGAGACGUACUAUCAGCUGAAACCUGGGUAUAAGUUCUUUGGAAUGAGGCAUCAUAGAGGGUGAGAAUCCCGUUUAUGACCCAAAGCUUUCAGCGUACGAUGUAUGUUCAUCGAGUCGAGUUGUUUGGGAUUGCAGCUCUAAAUGGGUGGUAAGUUUCAUCUAAAGCUAAAUAAUGGCGAGAGACCGAUAGCGAACAAGUACCGUGAGGGAAAGAUGAAAAGAACUUUGAAAAGAGAGUUAAAAGUACUUGAAAUUGCUAAGAGGGAAGCGCUAGAAACCAGUGAUACGCUAGGUCAAUCGUUUUCGGCUACUCGUAGAUAGUGUCGGGCAAUGGGCAACCUUGUUCGGUGUUAUCGAAAGGAUGGUCGGAGAUUUAAUGAUUUAGUGUCAGUCAAGAUCAAUUCGGAUUGUGGGAGAAGGUAGCGAGAAAGGUAGGAGAGCAAUCUCUGUUAUAUUCUUGUUACUCUACCUCGGCCUGGAUUGAGGAAGUAAUGGUGCGCCGCUUGCGGCUUGAUCCUGCGUCUCUGUUGUCCUACUUGCUCCGAUUAGCAAUGCUAUCUCUGUGGGGAAAGGCAAUACUGGGCGUGGUGAUUCUAUGUGCCAUCACGAUCUUGUACGAAAUGGUUUUUAUCGACCCGUCUUGAAACACGGACCAAGGAGUCUAACAUCUAUGCAAGUAUUUGGGUGAAAAACCCUGAUGCGUAAUGAAAGUAAAGGUAGACUUGUUCUACUGAGGUAGGAAUCCCUGUCAAAGGGGAGGCACUAUCGACCGAUCAUCACUUGUGAAAGAUUUGAGUAAGAGCAUAUCUGUUGGGACCCGAAAGAUGGUGAUCUAUGCCUGAACAGGGUGAAGCCAGGGGAAACUCUGGUGGAGGCUCGUAGCGAUACUGACGUGCAAAUCGUUCGUCUGAUUUGGGUAUAGGGGCGAAAGACUAAUCGAACCAUCUAGUAGCUGGUUCCCUC